GUGCUGUUGCGUUGCAGUGGAAGGACAUGGGUUUGAGUUCCUGUUCCCACUGUAGUACCUUCCUUUGAAUUACUCUAGUAGAUUUACAUUUAUUCAUUUAUCAGACGCUUUUCGCCAAAGCAACGUACAUCUCAUAGAAAAUACAAUGUGGUCAUUACAUUAGGAGAAAGAGACAUAGCUGCAGAUGUGUGACUCUUAAGUACAGUUACAGUUAGAUUGUUUCCUUCACCAUAUGCACCGACGUUCAUCACACAACAUAGUAAAAAUGACCUUGCUGUAUUAAUGGGUAAAUAACUGUAAGUCACUUAGUAUGAAAAGCAAACAUUGUCAAUUGCCUUAGACAAAGGUCCCAGCGAAAAAGGGGAUGAUAAUAAAAUUAGCGAUGACCAGGUAAGUACAGAUGCAUCUCAACUUACGAUAGUUCGAUUCAUGAUGGUUUGACUUUACGAUGGCGCGAUAGCGGUAGACAUUCAGUAGAAACAAUACUUUGAAUUUUGAAUUUUGAUUUUUUCCCAUGCAACCAAUAUGCGGUAUGAUACUCUUUUGUAAUGCUGGGCAUUGGCAGCGAUCCGCAUCUCCCAGUCUGCCAUGCUGUUGCUAGUGUAUACAACCGUUACUCUGGAGUGUUCUGUGUUUCUAGUGUUUUUUUGGAUACCCCCCCCCGUAUCCAUGUUGUGUUUUGUGCAUCCAUCACGCCUACGAAACACCCAUCUGUGCUCGCUGCUACUGGUGGGAAGAAGAAGAGGAGGACCGUUACUCUUGAGGAGAAACUGAAGAUAAUUGUCCAGCAUGAAGGUCCAUCACUGUAGCAAUGCCUGUCACCGAAACCAGCAGGCACUCAGCAGCAGAGCCUUCUGAUGUGAAGGAUGUCACCCAUGACUCGGGCAAAUGACAUUCAGCUGUCUGGAAUUAGGAACCAGCGCGGCAGCAACGCCGAAAGGCAGCUUUGAAAUCCGCCCACACCCGAGCGCGUCCCGAUCCCAGCCGUGCAGGUAAUCAUGGUACCAGCUGUACUCAUGCUGUCUGUGUCAGAGACGGGUGGGGAGAUGGCACAGCACUGAAUACGCCAGUGAACUGAAUUUGAGUUGGAGUCUGUGGGAAAGCCAUGGAGUCUCACAGGUCUUGUACAUCUCAAUAGAUACAUGACAUAAGAAAGAGAGUGAGAAGAGCAGAGUGUAUGAGACAGAGGUGAGCCUUAGGAGUGUGUAUGGUGUACGGAUUUCUUAUCACCAAAAUGAGGCUUCAUGCUGCUGCGCAUGAUAUCAAUCAGCGAAGCUCUCAGAGUGAUGAUCUCACGAGAUUGUGCGUCUGUACGAAUGAGCAAUGCAGGAGCUCUGAGUGCGUCUGUGACUGAGUGACGGAAGAUUACAUCUGAAGAGACAGCAUCUGAAUGAGCAAUUUGAGACGUUUUUGCAAAUACAUUCAUUCUCUGAGCCGACACUGUUCUUCAAAGCGACUUACAUUGUUAAGCUCCUUACAGCUAUUUACCCAGCUGGGUGACUUUAUUCUAGCAACUUAGGGUAAGUACCUUGCUUGAGGGUCCUACAGCUGGAGGUAGGAUUCAAACCUGCGAUCUUUGGGUAGAAAGGGAGAAGCUGGACCACCACACUACCAGCUGCUCUAGACAUGAAGAUAUAUUUGCUAAAGAUCCAAUCACCACAGGCUCUCGUUGAAGUAUCCCCUGGGUUCUUCCCAGUUUAAUCCCUUUAAGAGAAAGUCUUAACUCUUGAGACAUUAUCAGCAUUUGUCACUGAAACUGCAGGUGGCACUGAGUGUCUCUAAUGGAUUCCGCAGGACCAGACGGAGACG
rnacentral:lncRNA from 1 species